rnacentral:rRNA from 1 species
UACGUAGGGUGCGAGCGUUGCCCCGGAUUUAUUGGGCGUAAAGGGCGCGUAGGCGGUUUGCAUAGUCAGACGUGAAAUUCCUGGGCUUAACCUGGGGGCUGCGUUUGAUACAUGCAGGCUUGAGUUCGGAAGAGGGUCGUGGAAUUCCCAGUGUAGAGGUGAAAUUCGUAGAUAUUGGGAAGAACACCGGUGGCGAAGGCGGCGACCUGGUCCGAUACUGACGCUGAGGCGCGAAAGCGUGGGGAGCAACAGG